UACGUAGGGUGCGAGCGUUGUCCGGAAUUACUGGGCGUAAAGAGCUCGUAGGUGGUUUGUCGCGUUGUUCGUGAAAACUCACAGCUUAACUGUGGGCGUGCGGGCGAUACGGGCAGACUGGAGUACUGCAGGGGAGACUGGAAUUCCUGGUGUAGCGGUGGAAUGCGUAGAUAUCGGGAGGAACACCAGUGGCGAAGGCGGCUUUCUGGCCCGUUCUUGACGCUGAGGCGCGAAAGCUAGGGUAGCAAACGGG
rnacentral:rRNA from 1 species